CUGCUGCCUCCCGUAGGAGUCUGGUCCGUGUCUCAGUACCAGUGUGGGGGACCUUCCUCUCAGAACCCCUACGCAUCGUCGGUUAGGUGGGCCGUUACCCCGCCUACUGCCUAAUGCGCCGCAUGCCCAUCCCUGUCCGGCCGAAGCCUUUCCUGCCUCCGGGAUGCCCCGGUGGCAUGUACGCGGGUUUAGCCCGCCUUUCGGCGGGUUGUCCCCCUGACAGGAGCAGGUUGCAUACGUGUUACUCACCCGUGCGCCGGUCGCCGGCGGAAG
rnacentral:rRNA from 1 species